UACGUAGGGUGCAAGCGUUAAUCGGAAUUACUGGGCGUAAAGCGUGCGCAGGCGGUGAUGUAAGACAGAUGUGAAAUCCCCGGGCUCAACCUGGGAACUGCAUUUGUGACUGCAUCGCUGGAGUGUGGCAGAGGGGGAUGGAAUUCCGCGUGUAGCAGUGAAAUGCGUAGAUAUGCGGAGGAACACCGCUGGCGAAGGCAAUCCCCUGGGCCUGCACUGACGCUCAUGCCCGAAAGCGUGGGGAGCAAACAAG
rnacentral:rRNA from 1 species